CUGGCGGCUCCGAGGUCAGGACAAGCUUGGCCGGCCAGGGGAAGUGGAGAGGAGCCCGGCUGCGCAGGGGCGCGUGCCGUGAGUUCCGGUGAGCGUGUGUGCUCCACGCUCCGUCUUUCCAGGCUGGCCCAGGACACGAAGCCGGAAGAGAGCUGGAGAGACGGGACCGAGAGCGGAGAGAGAGAGAAAACGAGAGAGAGAAAGAGAGAGAGAGAGUGCAGCUCGCUCGCACAGCCCGGGUGCAGGCUGGAUCUUGGCGCUCUCCGCCCGGAGCCUGCCCAGAGCUGGGUGUGAGGCUGGCAUCACGUCAACGAGCCGAGGCGGCCAGGCGGGGCGGAGUGCGCGUGCGCGGCUAGCGGGGCGUGGGAGCGGGGCGCCGGGCGCGGGGCGGCGAGCACGCGCGCGCGCACACCCCGGGCAGCCUGGGCGGCCGCUCCUGCCUGCCUGCUUGCCUGCCUGCCUGUCACGGCUGCGGCGCUGCUGGUCGUUCCCUUGAAGGCAGCGGAGGCGGCGGCUGCUCCAGACACCUGCGGCGGCGGCGACCCCCCGGCGGCGCGGAGAUGUGGCCCUUGGCGGCGGCGCUGUUGCUGGGCUCCUGCUGCUGCGGUUCAGCUCAGCUCCUGUUUAGUAACAUCAAAUCCGUAGAGUUCACUUCAUGCAAUGAAACUGUGGUCAUACCUUGCAUCGUCCGUAACGUGGAGGCACAGAGCACUGAGGAAAUGUUUGUGAAGUGGAAGUUCAACAAGACGUAUAUUUUCAUCUAUGAUGGAAAUAAAAAUAGCACAACCAUAGAACAAAACUUUACCAGUGCAAAAAUCUCAGUCUCAGACUUGCUCAAAGGCGACGCCUCUUUGAAAAUGGAUAUCCGUGAGGCGGUGGUGGGAAACUACACUUGCGAAGUGACGGAGUUAUCCAGAGAAGGCAAAACAGUUAUAGAGCUGAAAAACCGCACCGCCUUCAACACUGACCAAGGAUCAGCCUGUUCUUACCCCACUACCCCGGCAGGGGACGAGAAGGAGAAAGGAGGUUGCAAAUUAGUUUCGUGGUUUUCUCCAAAUGAAAAGAUCCUCAUUGUUAUUUUCCCAAUUUUGGCUAUACUCCUGUUCUGGGGAAAGUUUGGUAUUUUAACACUCAAAUAUAAAUCCAGCCGUACGAAUAAGAGAAUCAUUCUGCUGCUCGUCACUGGGCUGGUGCUCACCGUCGUCGUGGUUGUUGGAGCCAUUCUUCUCAUCCCGGGAGAAAAGCCCGUGAAGAAUGCUUUUGGACUUUGCCUCAUUGUAAUCUCGACAGGAAUGUUAAUACUACUUCAGUACAAUGUGUUUAUGACAGCUUUUGGGAUGACCUCUUUCACCGUCGCCAUAUUGAUCACUCAAGUGCUGGGCUACGUCCUUGCCUUGGUCGGACUGAGUCUCUGCAUCAUGGCUUGUGAGCCAGUGCACGGCCCCCUUUUGAUUUCAGGUUUGGGUAUCAUAGCUCUAGCAGAACUACUUGGACUAGUUUAUAUGAAGUUUGUUGAGUGGAGAGAGACACCUUCGGUCAGUUGAAAGGCAAGAAGAAAAGCUUCCAACCAGAGGACUAUACAACCUCCUAGGAAAGCUGUAGAGGAACCCCUUAACGAAUAAGUGAAGGGAGGGGACGGACUGUAACUUGGAAGUCAGAAGGGAAGACUACAGUUGUCUAGACACCAUGGCCUUCAUGACUCACAGCUGGAAGGAGCAGGCAACAGUAACUGACUUUCAUCCGUGAAAAAUGUCAUUGAACCAUAAAUGAUUACUACAGUUAAGUUUAUAUUCAAAGCAGCUGUAAUUUACAUAAUAAAAGAAAACAUGAUGUGCUGUGUAA